rnacentral:rRNA from 1 species
GACGAAUGCUGGCGGCGUGCUUAACACAUGCAAGUCGAACGGUGAACAGGAGCUUGCUCCUGGGAUCAGUGGCGAACGGGUGAGUAACACGUGGGCAACCUGCCCCUCACUCUGGGAUAACUCCGGGAAACCGGGGCUAAUACCGGAUACGACCUGGAGCGACAUCUCUCCAGGUGGAAAGAACUUCGGUGAGGGAUGGGCCCGCGGCCUAUCAGCUUGUUGGUGGGGUAACGGCCUACCAAGGCGACGACGGGUAGCCGGCCUGAGAGGGCGACCGGCCACACUGGGACUGAGACACGGCCCAGACUCCUGCGGGAGGCAGCAGUGGGGAAUAUUGCGCAAUGGGCGAAAGCCUGACGCAGCGACGCCGCGUGAGGGACGACGGCCUUCGGGUUGUAAACCUCUUUCAGCAGGGACGAAGCGAAAGUGACGGUACCUGCAGAAGAAGCACCGGCUAACUACGUGCCAGCCGCCGCAGUAAUAC